CUUUUCCCCAACAAUAUAUUCUUUGUGAUCUCGCCCAAGAAUCUUAACAAUAUGACCUCGUGUGGAAUCUUUAAAGAGAUCUAUUUAAAGCAAGUCACGCCUGAUUUGAGGACAUGGAAAGACCCAUAAUCUUGCCAUACCCAUGAUGGGGAAGUGAGCCCCUAAAAGCAGGGAUCAUAGCAGAGCACUUUGAUUUUUCUGCUUCUUAUUCCUAAACCCAAUGUAGAAAAAAGAAAUGUGGAAAAACGUAGGAUUUUGGCACAUAUUUAAAGGACAUAGGAACCUAUGCCUGAUCAGCACUGGACAUUUGCAGGCCUUGUCAGAACUGCUCAGUGUAUUCACAAGGAUCCUUAAAUGUGCAGAAGGAGACAGAAGAGGAGAAGCAGAAAGAUGGCAGCAUGAAAUGGAACCAAGUUGCCAUUACUGGCUUUCAAGACGAAGGAAUGGGGCUGUGAGUCAAGGAUGUCAGCAGACUCUAGAAGAUAGAAUAAGGAAAGUAAGAAAUCUCCCCUAGAUCCUCCAAAAGGAAUGCAACCCUGCCCACAUGUCAAUAUUACCUCAGUGAGAUCUGUCUUGGAAUUCUGACCACCAGAAUCAUAAGGUAACAAAUUUGUGUUGUUUAAAGCCACCAAGUUUGUGUUAAGUUUUUACAGUAGUAAUAGUAAACUAAUACUGUUAGGAAAUAUACAACAGGACCCUACAACAUCCUAUAGUGCCAGAAAGUAACAAAGUGUUUAAAACUCUCACAAACAGGGGUGCCUGGGUGGCUCAGUCAGUUAAGCAUUGGACUUUACCUCAGGUCAUGAACUCACAGUUUGUGAAUUUGAGCCCCUCGUCAAGCUGGCUUCUGUCAGCACAAAGCCCACUUCAGAUCUGGUGUCCCCCUCUCUCCCUGCU